CAUUUUUAGUUAGUUCCCCUUAUCUCACUGACAGUAAUUCCCUUAACAGAUAUCAUUGUGGCAGUGAAAGCGUCACAGCGUCACCUGAACUGUGCUCUCUCUUCCUCUUACGGGCUGCAUUUCUGCAAACUCAUUUGGCUACACAAAAUGUUCCUAUACGCGGCUGAUGAUUUGCGUCGCUGUCAUCAACACAUUAUGAAAGCUUAUAUGUCAGUGAUGUGAACGCCAGCGUCUCCGAGUGUGAUCACUGCCUUGACUGGACACCCUGGUUCCCAGGACAGCGCCCCCUUUUCUGAGUCAAAGGUCACCCCUGACCACAGCUCCUCUGUGCCUGAGGGAGAAAUCACCAUGGUCACCAUGCAAUGAGCUGCAUUUACAUCGUCAUCAAGUGACACACUUUCACAGAUUGUCAUUGGCUGCCUUGCUGCCUGCGUGUUCGUGCAGCCACACACACCAAUACUGAAGAUGAACAAGGAUUCCCCGUGACUGCGCAACGACAGUUAAGAUGAUUCAAGAGAUCAUGUUCAUGGAUUUUUUUUUCUUGCCAGAAAUAGCAGGAAGAUAUGUUCUCUUAGUUGCAGAAGGGAAAUAAUAACAAACCGUUACGCUGACCUGAUGAUGGCUGGCCUGAUGAUAUUUAGUAAAACAAUAAAACAAUAAGAAUCCA